GACGAACGCUGGCGGCGUGCCUAAUACAUGCAAGUAGAACGCUGAAGCGAGGAGCUUGCUCUUCUUGGGUGAGUUGCGCACGGGUGAGUAACGCGUAGGUAACCUGCCUUGUAGCGGGGGAUAACUAUUGGAAACGAUAGCUAAUACCGCAUAACAAUGGAUGACACAUGUCAUUUAUUUGAAAGGGGCAAUUGCUCCACUACAAGAUGGACCUGCGUUGUAUUAGCUAGUAGGUGAGGUAAUGGCUCACCUAGGCGACGAUACAUAGCCGACCUGAGAGGGUGAUCGGCCACACUGGGACGGAGACACGGCCCAGACUCCUACGGGAGGCAGCAGUAGGGAAUCUUCGGCAAUGGGGGCAACACUGACCGAGCAACGCCGCGUGAGUGAAGAAGGUUUUCGGAUCGUAAAGCUCUGUUGUAAGUCAAGAACGGGUGUGAGAGUGGAAAGUUCACACUGUGACGGUAGCUUACCAGAAAGGGACGGCUAACUACGUG
rnacentral:rRNA from 1 species